rnacentral:rRNA from 1 species
UACGAAGGGGGCGAGCGUUGUUCGGAUUUACUGGGCGUAAAGGGCGAGUAGGUGGCCAUCUAAGUCAGACGUGAAAUCCCCCGGCUUAACCUGGGAACUGCGUCUGAUACUGGACGGCUUGAGUAUGGGAGAGGAACGUAGAAUUCCAGGUGUAGCGGUGAAAUGCGUAGAUAUCUGGAGGAAUACCGGUGGCGAAGGCGGCGUUCUGGACCAUUACUGACACUGAAUCGCGAAAGCUAGGGGAGCAAACGGG